AAACGCCUCCGGCUGAUCGGCAG
rnacentral:miRNA from 1 species